AUUAAAGCGUCUUUUGGGAUCAACCACUUCCAAGUGAAAUACUUUGAUGAGGAUAAUGAAGAG
rfam:Larimichthys crocea isolate SSNF unplaced genomic scaffold scaffold407, whole genome shotgun sequence.